rnacentral:rRNA from 2 species
GGGUUGUGAGGUUAAGCGACUAAGCGUACACGGUGGAUGCCCUGGCAGUCAGAGGCGAUGAAGGACGUGCUAAUCUGCGAAAAGCGUCGGUAAGGUGAUAUGAACCGUUAUAACCGGCGAUGUCCGAAUGGGGAAACCCAGUGUGAUUCGUCACACUAUCGUUAACUGAAUACAUAGGUUAACGAGGCGAACCGGGGGAACUGAAACAUCUAAGUACCCCGAGGAAAAGAAAUCAACCGAGAUUCCCCCAGUAGCGGCGAGCGAACGGGGAGCAGCCCAGAGUCUGAAUCAGCUUGUGUGUUAGUGGAACGGUCUGGAAAGUCCGACGGUACAGGGUGAUAGUCCCGUACACCAAAAUGCACAGGCUGUGAACUCGAAGAGUAGGGCGGGACACGUGGUAUCCUGUCUGAAUAUGGGGGGACCAUCCUCCAAGGCUAAAUACUCCUGACUGACCGAUAGUGAACCAGUACCGUGAGGGAAAGGCGAAAAGAACCCCGGCGAGGGGAGUGAAAAAGAACCUGAAACCGUGUACGUACAAGCAGUGGGAGCACCUU